rnacentral:rRNA from 1 species
AUGGCGGAUGAGAGGAGGAGCAGGAGGGGAGGCGUGGAGGCAGGGCCAUAUGCAUCGGACGCGCGCGUUCGCCCGCAAUCAACGUGGACGCAUUGGCCGUCCAUGGCGGCUCAGGUCGAUGUAGGAGGACGAGGGGAGGAGCUCGCGAGGCCCGGCACUAGGACUGGAGUGGAGGCGGCUGGAUCUAGUGAUUCUAAAGGGGCUGGCGACGAGCGGCUCCGUGGGCGGCGACCUGCGGGGUUCAAGCGGCGGCUGCCAUGA